GUAGGGGGCAAGCGUUGUCCGGAUUUAUUGGGCGUAAAGAGCGUGUAGGCGGCUAGGUAGGUCCGUUGUGAAAACUCGAGGCUCAACCUCGAGACGCCGAUGGAAACCAUCUGGCUAGAGUCCGGAAGAGGAGAGUGGAAUUCCUGGUGUAGCGGUGAAAUGCGCAGAUAUCAGGAAGAACACCCGUGGCUAAGGCGGCUCUCUAGUACGGUACUGACGCUGAGACGCGAAAGCGUGGGGAGCGAACAGG
rnacentral:rRNA from 1 species